CUACGGGUGGCUGCAGUGAGGAAUUUUGCGCAAUGGGGGAACCCUGAUGCAGCAACGCCGCGUGGAGGAUGACGCAUUUCGGUGUGUAAACUCCUUUUAUAUGUCAAGAAAAUGACGGUAGCAUAUGAAUAAGCACCGGCUAACUCCGUGCCAGCAGCCGCGGUAAUACGGAGGGUGCAAGCGUUACUCGGAAUCACUGGGCGUAAAGGACGCGUAGGCGGGUUGGAAAGUCAGGUGUGAAAUCCUACAGCUUAACUGGAGAACUGCACUUGAAACUUCUAAUCUAGAGUAUGGGAGGGGGAGAUGGAAUUAGUGGUGUAGGGGUAAAAUCCGUAGAUAUCACUAGGAAUACCUAAAGCGAAGGCGAUCUCCUGGAACAUUACUGACGCUAAGGCGUGAAAGCGUGGGGAGCAAACAGGAUUAGAUACCCGCGUAGUC
rnacentral:rRNA from 1 species